rnacentral:rRNA from 1 species
GGGUUUCGACCCUUUCAUUUGGUAGGAGAGCGUAAUUCAUGCAGUGAAGCCUUACUGGAAAGGACGGUGGAGCGUGAAUUAGUGAGAAUGCAGACAUGAGUAGCGAUAAACCAGAUGAGAAUUCUUCGCCGUAAACCUAAGGUUUCCUGGGCAAGGUUCGUCCUCCCAGGGUUAGUCGGGAGCUAAGAUGAGGCCGUAAGGCGUAGUCGAUGCACAGCAGGUUAAUAUUCCUGCACCAACUAGGAUUAAGGACUGGAGUGAAGCAGAGAGGAAAGUGACUAGGCAAUCGAAUGCUGAGCCGAGGGGCAACCCGAAGCGUAUCACCGGACAAUCUGUCGAGAAAAGCUCCUUUUCGUUUCCCUAGGUGCCCGUACCGUAAACCGACACAGGUGGGUGGGUCGAGUAGACCAAGGCGCGCGAGAGAAACCUCUCUAAGGAACUCGGCAAAAUAGCCCCGUAACUUCGGGAGAAGGGGUACCCACUUCGGUGGGUCACAGUAAAUUGGGUUUAGCGACUGUUUAACAAAAACACAGCACUCUGCCAAGUUGUGAAAACAACGUAUAGGGUGUGACACGUGACCAAUGCGGAAAGAUCAAGGUGACUUGUUAGCCGCAAGGCGAAGCUCGGAGCCAAAGUCCCCGUGAAUGUCGGCCGUAACUAUAACGGUCCUAAGGUAGCGAAAUUCCUUGUCGGGUAAGUUCCGACCUGCACGAAUCGUGUAACGACUGAACCGCUGUCUCGGAGAGGAUCUCGGCGAAAUUGUAACGGCGGUGAAGAUGCCGCCUGCCCGCAGUAGGACGGAAAGACCCUAUGCACCUUUACUGUAAGCUGGUAUUGUGUUCUGAUUAAUGAUGCGUAGCGUAGGUGGGAGACUUUGAAGCCAUGGUUUCGGUUGUGGCUGAGUCGCAAUGUGAAACACCACUCUUUGUUAAUUAGGAUUCUAACCCUAUGCUGUUAGCCAGCUAGGGGACAGUGCCUGCGGGUCAGUUUGACUGGGGCGGUUUCCUCCCAAAGGGUAACGGAGGAGCGCUAAGGUACUCUCAGCAUGGUUUGCAACCAUGCGUCGAGCGUAUGGGUAGAAGAGUGCUUAACUGCGAGACCAACAAGUCGAGCAGAUACGAGAGUAGGCCCAAAUGAUCCGAUGGUUGAAUAUGGAAUUGCCAUCGCUCAACGGACAAAAGGUACGCUAGGGAUAACAGGCUGAUCGGAUCCAAGAGUUCAUAUCGACGAUCCGGUUUGGCACCUCGAUGUCGGCUCAUCGCAUCCUGGGGCUGGAGAAGGUCCCAAGGGUCCGGCUGUUCGCCGGUUAAAGCGGUACGCGAGCUGGGUUCAGAACGUCGUGAGACAGUUCGGUCCUUAUCCACUGUGGGCGCAGGAAACUUGAGGGGUUCAUUCUCUAGUACGAGAGGACCGAGAAUGACGCACUUCUGGUGUGGCAGUUGUUCCGUCAGGGGCAGCGCUGCGUAGCCAUGUGCGGAAGAGAUAAGCGCUGAAAGCAUCUAAGUGCCAAGCUCAUCCCAAGAUAUUGUUUCCCGGACGCAAGUCCCUAAAGACUCCAUGUAGACCACGUGGUUGAUAGGUCAGGCGUGUAAGUGCCGCAAGGUACUCAGCGGACUGAUACUAAUUAGUCGUGCGGCUUGAUCGC